AAAAUAAAUAAAUAAAUAAAAUAAUGACAUUUUGUCUCAAUUAUGCAGGUCAGAUAUUAGGUCUGCUAAAUGCUUUAAGGUCAUAAACUACUUUGACUUUUGAAAAUUGUUCAAUUUAUUUUGGAGAUGUUAUAUUCUAAAUAAGGCCUGGGGAUUUAUGGAAUUAACCAUGCCCCCUAGCUAUGCAAAGAACGUUAUAAAAAAAGAGAUUUUAUAUAAGAAAGGAUGUUGUAUGGUAAAUUCUUGUCCUGAAGUAAAAUGACUGGUUGUUUAAAAAGAGGGAUAUUUAGGGCAAGUCAGAAAGUCUAAAUAUGUUGUACAUGGUCUGUGUAAGUCAUGAAAGAAUUUAUAAAAAAGAAUUUAUGCCAGAAAUGUCGUACAAUUUAAAGGUGAUUAGGCCUCCUAAAUGCUUCACAAAAUGCCACUAUGACUCUUAACUGUACAGCCUGCAAGCUUUACAGCUUGGUAAGGCCUGGAACACAUGUAGUUAGAUGUUGGAAACAGUCAGGCCUUAUCUGCAUUUCUGUCUGGGUCCCAGGCUCCACACCUAGUACAUCAUUGAAAUCCCUUACUUACCAAGGCUUUCACCAAAAGUAAAAGUUGCUAAGAGUUAACAUUGUAAUAUGUAAUUGAGACUGCUGAAAAAAUAGGUUUAGAUUCAAGAUGUGUAAGGAGAAUGAAAUGUGUUUUUUAUAAGAGAUUAUAUGAAGGUAUGAGAAUGUAAAUUUUUUGCCUAGGUUAGAGGGUUAAAGGAUUGUUUUAAAUUAAAUAAAGCUAAAGGUUAGAACAAGUUGUGGAAAGUUUAUGAAAAAUUGAUUGUAAGAGAUUCUAUGUGUGAACAAAUUGGCUAAAGUUAAAAUGGCAUUAUUCAGUUUUUUCUAUAAAUUGGACAUUGGAAUAAAAGCACAACAGAGUUUUCUUAGAACGUUGUUCUGCUCUGAGAAAAAAAAAUUGUAAAGGGUUGUAAAAGGCUUAUAAAAAUUUUACUUUAUGGUCAAAUUAGUUAAAACUGAAUAGAUUUAUAAGAUGUUAUUAAAAACUAGCUUUAGCAUUAAAAAUACACUAAUAAAAACAUAAAAUUUGGAUUUUCUCUUUUAAAAAGGAUUUUUAUGUAGUAUUAAAAGAUGAAAGUUUUUUGUUUACCUUUUAAGUAAACUACAAAGGACAAAGCGGGGAAGGGAAGGAAAGAAGAGAGAGUCAGUUGGCCUCAUGCUAUCUUCAUUGGGUCUUGUUUGGGAAGCUGAGUCUCUUCUCUAUCAGAAUGAUGUUUUUCCUUUAAAAAAAAGUUUUCAGUCAUCUUUUUGGCUAAAUGAAUGACUUAUGGUAACCUAAGAUUCUAUUUUGUAAUAUCCAACAUUUUAAACCUGUGGUAUUUAAUAAACCUUUCAAAACCAAGCUCUGGAUUAUCAUGCUAAAUCAGCCAAUACUAAAAUUGUUUAAACAUACAAUUUGAAUGAACUCCAUGGUCUAAGUCAAAUUAUCUAUGAUAACCCAUUAGUUGUCAGUGCUAUGCACCCAAAUUGGAGAAACAACUGGUAUUCAAGAGGACAUAAGACCAUUGUUAAGCAUGGACUCAUGAAGAAACAGUACAGCUGCCUUAUCCUUCCUGAGUCCUUAAAGCUUUUGUUAUUAAAGGCUCUGCAUUCCAUGACUCAUCAUGGAAGAGAUAAAAUAAUCCAAAUUGAAGAUAUUGAUGUGAUGAUUUAUCAAUUGCAGAAAUAGCUUAAAACCAAUGUUUGGUUCCAUAUUCCUGGGAAGACAAUCAAAGCUUCAGGUACCUGAUGGGCCAUAUAAACAUUUAUAAAGGGGUUUCAUGCAAUUGUCAUUUUCAAUGCAUAUUUUCUUGUUGUAUAAAAGCUUUCCCAUGCAAGAAGGCUGAUGUUAUAACAGUAGAUUAUUAUGCUACAGUGUAUUUUCACUAGGUAAAGAAAGCUCUUUAUGGUUCACUGAGGACAAUCCCUUCACAAUCUAGAACCUGAUUGGAUCUUCUGAGAAUAUCAGAGAAAGACUGUCCUUGCCAUCCACACUACAGCAAAACUGGAGCCUUGAACUUUGGGGUCAUAAUCUCACAACUGAGAAGAGUUCCUCCACACUCCUGGAACUGUACCUCCAUUGGUACCCUUAAGGCAACAUGACCUACGACGCUUUGGAUCUCCAUGGCAAGCAUUGACACUGGCAAAAAUUAUCUAAUAAACACUUAUAUUGAAUGAGUAAACGUUAGAGAGACAUGGAAGCAAGUAUGAAAGACCUCGCCAGGACUUUAGAUGGACUGAACUGAUCAUAAAAGAAACUUCAGUUCUUGGCCGGGCGCAGUGGCUCACGCCUGUAAUCCCAGCACUUUGGGAGGCUGAGGUGGGUGGAUUACCUGAGGUCGAGAAUUCAAGACCAGCCUAGCCAACAUGGUAAAACUGUCUCUACUGAAAAUACAAAAAUUAGCCAGGUGUGGUGACACGUUCCUGUAAUCCCAGCUACUUGGGAGGCUGAGGCAGGAGAAUCACUUGAACCCGGGAGGCGGAGGUUGCAGUGAGCCAAGAUCCCACUACUGCACUCCAGCCUGGGUGACAGAGUGAGGCUCCAUCUCAAAAAGAAAAAAAAAGAAACUUCAGUUCCUGACAAAUUAUAGACUGGAGACAUAGAGAAAAGAUAAUGAUGUGGAUUCUUGAACAAGGGCACAAGACAAUGAAUUUGCUCAUAAACGUGGGCAGAUCUACCGAUUAGACCUGAGGAACAAUGCCUACUGUGUGCC
rnacentral:lncRNA from 1 species